GGUGAUUCUCCACUGGCGCUGCAUUUAGCGGACUGACGCUUGUUGGACAAAUAUCAUUUUUGAGGUUAAAGACAAAUAAAUUUGAAAGAUGUAAGUAUGCAUUCGUGAAAUACGUUGAAAAUGUGAGGAUAAUUCUAAAGUUAUGCCCUGAAUGAACGUUUGGAUAGUGUAACUCUUGCAGGAAAUCAUUUUACGAUCAUUAGGAUUUUUUAUUUUCAGCUUCAGAAGAUAUACAAAUCAUUUUAGGGUGAAUUGAUUGUUCAUUGUUUAUAAGUAUUUUAAGCAUAACCUACGGCACUAGUACGCAGACACAGAUGCAGAGAAAAUGAUGUUUCAAAGUACCUUCCAUUUAUUAUGCAUACUCUAUGGUUUUACCAAUGGUUAAGGUUGAAUGCGUUACAAAUCUGUGAUAUUUAAGACAUGGCUUAAGUUUUCUGAAAGGUAUUUCCAACCUUUUAACCAGCAGAUAUUUGCAAUACAUUGUUUAGGCAAAUGAAACUAUUUUGCACACACGUAUUUUCAAAACCUGCUAUUGUUAAUUUAGUUUUAGUUAAACGUACAAAGAAAAUCGUUUUUUUUUUUUCAAAUGAAAUGGUUUAAAAAAGCUCGAUCCAGCGUUCUUCUGCUGCGUUACUCUCUGCUGGAGUGACUCUGAACCGUUCGUUCCAAAGUCCUUGUCUGGACCUCUGCUCACUCCCACGCACCGCUCGUGAAUCACCAAACUCCCGAAAAAAAUCUACUACUUUAUUAAUUUUUUUGAGUUUUUGUAUUUAGAAAUUAUCAAUUACAUUGUGGGCUUUUUUUCACCUUCUCUUCUGCUAAUUGUACUUGUUAGUAGAUAACGAAUGGGGGGACAACACAACACAACCUUGACCUUGAGUUUGACCCCGCCCAUUUUCCCUCUCUUUCUUUCAAGGCCACUCGUUCUCUCUCUUACUUUUUCAAGGCCAACCCCUCCCACUUCCUCCACCACUUUAAGGCCAAGGCAUUAUUGGACCUUGAUGUUUUCAAGGUCAAGGUCAUUUAUGUUACUCCCCACUUUUGCAAGGCUAACAACUCCUCACUCAUUCAAGAUGAAUCGCGCAAUUGUCCUUACUCAUUUUCCACCCCAAACUGUAUAAAAGUUAAUGUGUUGUGUUGUGUAACACAGUUCUUGUGUAUAUCUGCAAUAACAAGAAAUUCUUUAAAAAUGGAACCCAUCAGAAAAAGUUCUAUUUUUAAUACUCCUGGUAAGUUUAAUAUUUUUUUAGUAGUUUAGUUGGAAAUAAUUUUUUUUCAGAGGAUGUGAUUACAUGUCCGUACGACAAAAACCACGUUCUUCUUUGGUUUCGGCUCGAAAGGCACAUUUGGAAGUGCCAUCGGGCCGAUAAAGAAAAAGAAAGGGCCUUAUGUGAAGUGAUGUUGAAAGAAGAAGAGGAGAACUGGGAUCAUUUCAAUGAGCCCAGCUACCUCGACUUCUUAAAAACUAAAAAGAAUCAUAAUGCCUUAAAUUAAAGAAGGCCGGGGUUCUUUCGUAAAAAUAGUGUAGAAUAAGUUUAGCAAAGUAGUAGUAGUCGUAGUAAACUGUAAAUAUUAUAUUAUUGUAUAAAAAAAAUAAAAGUUGUUAAAAAAAGCUACAUGUUUUUAUGUACACCUAUUUCAACCUACUGAUACAAGUAAGUGUGACCUGCAAGCAGAGAGUCGCUCACUGUUUCAAGACCACUCAUUCCCUCUUUAUCUUUGAUGUUUUCAUCUCACUUUUUCUCAUUAUCUCACUUUUUCAAGGCCACAUUUUCAUUCAAGGUUAAAAAAGUGGGGGUAUAGUUAAUAUAUAGAAUUUAGUACAAUUUUGAUAGCAGUCAGUACUGAUUUAAUCCUCCGAGAAAUAAGAAUAUAAAAAAAGUGCAUAUAUCUGUGUUAAUGUCUAAGAGUAUUCGCUGCUGGGUCAUGGAUGUAUUGAAUCGAAUCGCUCGAUGCGGACAGAAGCCCAUUUUAAAAGCUGGUGAGCUAGAGUUGAACACAAGAUUCCGCAUACAUAAUAUUAGACGCACAAAGUCUCUGUUCGGAAAUUCAGUGCUUGUUGAGUUGUACAAUUAUGCAGUGUUUCUGCCGAGAAGAAUAAGUGAUUAUUUGACUGAGGAGAAAAUUGAUGAGUUAUUACGAGAUCCAUGUCCACUAUAUUUAAUAUAUUUGGGAAAAGAAGAUGCUAGAAACCCGACAUCUGCACAUUGUUUUGAGUUUCAACGUGUUGAUGAUGAAAUAUUAGUUAACGAGGGUGCCGAAGAGUAGGAUGAAAUUAUCGGAAAAAGACUUAUGUGUGUGAAGUAGUGUGCGUUUUGUGCUAGUGAUAGUUUCUUAAAAUAAAUGAAUAAAAAUCAUGUGUCUAGACGAUGGACAAUAUGAAAAAAGUUUAUACGAGUGUUUUGAUAAAAGACUGUUAUCAUAUAAGAACUGGGUACAUUCAUACCCAUCUCCAUGGAGUUUAGCAAAAGUGGGAUUGUUUUAUAUUCAAAUAUCUGAUUGUACCCAGUGUUUUGUUUGUGGAGUAAUAAUUUCACGAUGGGAAAAAAGUGAUGAUGCGUUUAUGGAGCAUAAAAAACAUUCUCCAAAAUGUGGAUAUGUGAAAUUGCUUUCCACAGACAAAACUACAAUUCAAAAAUUCAAAUUAGUUACUAAAAAUAGCAUUGUUGUAGUUUUAUUUUUUAUAGUAUUUGUAUUCAUGUAUUAUUUAUGUGCGUCUUCUUAUGCAUAGGUAAUGUGAUGCAGACUUGUUAACCUUGAUCAGUGUCGGGCGCGCGCCAAAGGCGAGGUAAACUAAAGGUUUCAAGAGGCGUCUUGAUUUAAUUAGUUUAUAAUUAAAUAAGUGGUAGAAUAAUAUGGAGGAUUUAUAAUAGAUUUAAGGAUAUUUAA